UCGUCUUGACCUGGAGUCGACUCGCCAACUUCUGGAGCUGACCUGGCAAUUUUGGAGUCGGCUCAUCCACUGAAGUCCGUGGAUCCAAUUUUGAAUUUUGUCCACUCGAGUCGACUCGACUGUCCUGGGAGUCGACUCAAAUCUCAGAGCCCGAACUCCCGAUUCUCUGUCUUUUGGCUCAUCCAGUCUUGGAGUCGACUCGAACUUCCUUGGAGUCGACUCGGCUCUCAGUUUCCGAAACUCAGCCUUCUGUCAUCUUGGUGUAGCGCUGCCUUGGAGUCGGCUCGAGCUGUCUGGGAGUCGACUCGAAUCUCAGAGGCAGUAACUUGGUUUUCUGUCUGUUGAUGGUCGCGGAGUCUCGGAGUCGACUCGUGCAAUGCGGGAGUCGACUCGAAUCUCAGAGUCCCAAAAAUGCUCUCUGACUUUUUCCUUGUGUUCCGCUGAGAGUCGAC
rnacentral:lncRNA from 1 species